AGGUGUUGAUGUAAUGGAGGUGUUGAUGUAAUGGAGGUGUUGAUGUAAUGGAGGUGUUGAUGUAAUGGAGGUGUUGAUGUAAUGGAGGUGUUGAUGUAAUGGAGGUGUUGAUGUAAUGGAGGUGUUGAUGUAAUGGAGGUGUUGAUGUAAUGGAGGUGUUGAUGUAAUGGAGGUGUUGAUGUAAUGGAGGUGUUGAUGUAAUGGAGGUGUUGAUGUAAUGGAGGUGUUGAUGUAAUGGAGGUGAUGAUGUAAUGGAGGUGAUGAUGUAAUGGAGGUGUUGAUGUAAUGGAGGUGAUGAUGUAAUGGAGGUGAUGAUGUAAUGGAGGUGUUGAUGUAAUGGAGGUGUUGAUGUAAUGGAGGUGAUGGAGGUCAUUUGUAAGUUAAAGAUAUCAGCAGCAGACAUUAUCUUCUUCGAUCACUGAGCCUCUAACGUAUGUCUUCACCAAAUCUAUGCAAACUGGUAUUGUUCUUAAAGAUUUGUAUUGUUCUUAAAAGAUUUCAAAAUUGCCAAAAUUAUCCCCCUCUAUUAAUCUAAGGAUCCAAUAUAUUUAACAGAUUAUCGGCCGAUAUCUGUACUACCAAAGUCCAAUAACAAUGUAUUUAUCAGAGAAUCAUUUAAAUCAACACAAUGUGCACCAAUAUGUUUUUCGUAAAAACUACUCCACAGAUAUGGCUCUUUUGCAACUUGUGGAUAAAAUAUUUCCAGCCCUUAACAACAAUGAAUAUGCGCUUGGCAUCUUUUUAGAUUCAUUUAAAGCGUUUGACACGGUUGAUCAUGAAAUAUUACUUUCUAAAUUGCAUUGUUACGGUUUUCAUGAUUCUACAUAUAAUUGGUUAUAUAGUUAUGUUAUGAUAGAGAACAAUUUGUUUACGCAAACAGCUGUGCAUUUACCAGGGCCAAGAUAUGGUGUGGCAUCCCACAGGGUUGGAUAAUUGGACCUUUGUUAUUCCUAAUUUAUAUCAAUGACCUUGCUGCUGUGUCUUCUACCGUAAUUCUUUGCUGAUGAUACCAAUUUUGAUUUACUAAUUAAUGAAGCCAACUCAGGUAUGGCUACAUUUUCUGAAUGGUUCCAGAUUAUCCAAAUGAUCUUUACAUAAAAAUAAAACAAAGCUAACUUAAUUGUAUUCACUAGUAAGAGUAAGAAAUAUUGUUAAAAAAAAAGAAAAGAAAAAAAAGAGCUAGAAUCUCAAUUGGUGGGAAUGAAAUGGAGCAAGUCCCAUCUACUAGAUUCCUUGGAGUUCAUACUGAUGAAACGUUAUCCUGGAAAGAUCAUAUUCAAUUAGUCUGCAGCAGAGUGAUGAACUCUGUUGCAAUCAUCAGAAAGAUUAGUUAUUUGAUUCUUCACUUCAUGCUUCCUAACUCUUUACUAUAGCAUAAUUCCCCUAAUACUCAUUUACUGUAAUAUUUUCUGGGCCAGUACAUAUGCCUCCUACCUACACAAAUUACUCAUCAUACAAGAGACAUUUUCAAGACUAGCCACCUUCUCUAAUUACCUGGCUCCAUCUGCAAAUGUGUUUAAGAAACUCAAUAUAUUGUCUAUUUACGACAUUAAUUAUGCAUUUUCAUCUACAUAUACUCAUACAUCCCAGACAGUUUACCUAAACCUUUCAUUGACAAACAAGACACUGAGAUAACCUUCACCCUCCCUACUGCCGCGCCUCACAUAGUCUAUCUAUCAGAUACAGUGGCACCAUACUCUGGAAUUAUUAUCUUCAUAUUGGCAAAACAUCAUCAUCCCUCAAUAACUUCAAGUGAAGACUGGGGGUCAGACUGAUGAAACCAAACAACUCAGUAAUCUCCUGCAUAUAGCCCAACUCUCGCUCGGUCACAAGGCACAAACAAAACAUAUCCUGUUAUUUCAUAGUUUUGAUGUCUUCAGUAUUAUUCUACAAUAUAGAAAAUGGGAGAAAAAAAAAGAAAAACCCUGGAAUGAGUGGGUGUGUCCAAUGUUUGGACUGGUACUUUAUGUAAAUUGUAGAGUAUGUUGUCUGUAAUGUAUUUUUCGUCAUGUGUCGGACCACAGUAAGACUAGCUGUCACCAUUGCCGUCGGCUAAUGGAGAUCGUAAAAAUAAAUCCAAAUAAAAAAUCCUCGAUCCCUGCA